rnacentral:lncRNA from 1 species
AAUGUCCUUGAAAUUGAGGUAUAAGGAGAAUAUGAGUUGGGUAUGGGUGUUUAGAAUUAUUAAGAGUUUUAAUAAAUUUUAGAAUAAUAUUUAUAUUUAUAUUUAUUUUAUAAUUAAAAUAAUGAGGAAAAUGAGAUGUUUAGAAAAAGUGGGGGCAAGGUUGAAAAUAAGGAAGAUAUGGAGGAUAAAAUGUGGAUAACAAUUGUACGUAUG